rnacentral:rRNA from 1 species
UGAUACGGUCAUACCACCAGGAAAACAGGCGAUCCCAUCUGAACUCGCAACUUAAGCCUGGUUGGGCAGGAUUAGUACUGGGCUGAGUGAUCUCCUGGGAAUCCCCUGUGCUGUAUCGC